rnacentral:rRNA from 1 species
CGGACGUGGUGAGUAACACGUAGGGUGGACAUACCCUUCAGAUGGGAUAGCUAUUAGAAAUAGUAGAUAAUACCGAAUACGAGCACAGGGGUUAGAGAUCUGUGAGGAAAGGAGCUAAGGCUCCGCUGAAGGAAUGGCCUGCGGCCCAUUAGCUAGUUGGUGAGGUAAGAGCCCACCAAGGCGAUGAUGGGUAUCCGGCCUUAGAGGGUGAACGGACACAUUGGGACUGAGAUACGGCCCAGACUCCUACGGGAGGCAGCAGCUAAGAAUAUUCCGCAAUGGACGAAAGUCUGACGGAGCGAACCGCCGCGUGGAUGAAGAAGGCCGUGAGGUUGUAAAGUUCUUUUCGGGAGGGGGAACAACCGUGGCAGGGAAUGGCCGCGGGAUGACGUGAAUCCCGGAAUAAGCCCCGGCUAACUACGUGCCAGCCGCUGC